UGCCAGUACCACAUCCUCGCCAAGGACUUCUCCAACCUCAACGCCAUGGUAAUUUUGUAUUCUCUCGCCUCUCUCUUUGCUUGCUGCCAGUUCACUCGAUCAGCCUAGGUUGUUGGUAUUUGCGAGACAGGCAAACACUCAUGCUGGCUAUUAAAAUGGAGACUUUCAAUUUUGGGUGUUUUCGUAGGUAUGUGGUACUACUUUGUGAUAUGUGGCUGGUUGAUGAACCCUGUAUAUUCCCAAUCCUUUGGAACAGAGAUUCUACUUGCAUUGGUUAGAUGCUGGAUUUCAUCUUAUACCUUCCUUGGAAGGUGACAACAGAAGAUAAGAGUGUAGUAGCAGCUGCUGCUAGCAGCCUAACGCUGGAGCACUUGGUGUAGCGCCGCAGCAUUGGUCUUCACAACAGUGUGUUUGCUGCGCACCGUCUUCCAUGACGCGUUGAUCUUCAGAGUCUUUGAACCUGGCGUCACAACUCAUAGUUGAGUGCUAUGGCUGGGACUGUAAAGAAGUGUUCAAAUUAUGAUAGAUCAAAGCCCUUCACAGGUGAUGACGUAUGUUGGAUGAUGGAAUGAUUAUUCUGUUCUGGUGCUUGCUUUGACUUGGGUGUUCAGAGAAGUAAAACUUUGAACUAACGUCUUUAGUGAAGCAACAUAUUGUAUCUGAAGUGAAACUUUCUCUUUGAUACGGAGAUGCGAGAAUCAAACUAACAUCCAUCUAAAGAUAAGAUUGCCAAUAUAAAUCAAUGAUGCAUGGCUCGGAAGUUGGUUGCAAAAUCACGAAGGUGGCUACUACUCGAUAGUUUUAGAUUAGGUUAUUAGAAUGUCAUUCAAGUCAAUGUUUCAAACAUUAUGUUUUAGAUGGCUGGCAUGUUGAUUGCAAGGUUGAGAAUCAGACUACUACUAGAUAGUUUCACAUACUGUAAUCUUUGUAUCAUGCUCUUUGUAAAGCAACCGAGUUGAUUUAAUAUAUGUGACCUUUCUAAUUA